rnacentral:rRNA from 1 species
GAAAGCCUAAGGUUUCCUGAGCAACGCUCGUCGACUCAGGGUAAGUCGGGACCUAAGCCGAGGCGGAAAAGCGUAGGCGAUGGACAACAGGUUGAAAUUCCUGUACUAUCCUGUAACAGAACUGUGGGGACGCAGAAAGAGAGCGUGAGCCGGGAAUGGAAAGACCGGUGCAAGCGAGGUAGGAGUCACAUAGGAAAAACCGUGUGGCAAUCCAAAGGCGUGAUGCGGAGCGAACUGAAGUAGCGAAGUAUGUGAGCCAUGCGUCGAGAAAAGCCGCUAUUGUUCAUGCUGUACCCGUACCGUAAACCGACACAGGUGGAUGAGGAGAGAAUCCUAAGGCCGACGGGAGAAGCAUUGUUAAGGAACUCGGCAAAAUGACCCCGUAACUUCGGGAGAAGGGGUGCCUGCGAGAGCAGGCCGCAGAGAAUAGGCUCAAGCAACUGUUUAGCAAAAACACAGGUCUAUGCGAAACCGAAAGGUGAGGUAUAUGGGCUGACGCCUGCCCGGUGCUGGAAGGUUAAGAGGAGAGGUUAGCGCAAGCGAAGCUUUGAACUUAAGCCCCAGUAAACGGCGGCCGUAACAAUAACGGUCCUAAGGUAG